rnacentral:rRNA from 1 species
CCUACGGGAGGCAGCAGUGGGGAAUAUUGGGCAAUGGAGGAAACUCUGACCCAGCAACGCCGCGUGAAUGAUGAAGGUCUUCGGAUUGUAAAGUUCUUUUCUAAGGGAAGAAGAAAGUGACGGUACCUUAGGACUAAGCCUCGGCUAACUACGUGCCAGCAGCCGCGGUAAUACGUAGGGGGCAAGCGUUAUCCGGAAUUACUGGGUGUAAAGGGAGCGUAGACGGUUAAGUAAGUCUGGAGUGAAAGGCCGGGGCCCAACCCCGGGACUGCUCUGGAAACUAUUGAACUGGAGUGCAGGAGAGGUAAGCGGAAUUCCUAGUGUAGCGGUGAAAUGCGUAGAUAUCGCGCAGAACUCCGAUUGCGAAGGCAGCAUGCCGGCUCCACACUGACGCUGAGGCACGAAAGCGUGGGUAUCGAACAGGAUUAGAUACCCUGGUAGUC